rnacentral:rRNA from 1 species
GUCACCGGCAGACGAGGUAGUAACACGUAGGAACGAACCAUGAAGUCAGGGACAACCCAUCGAAAGAUGGGCUAAUACUUGAUAGUCCCGAAAGGGUAAAGAUUUAUCGCUUCUUGAUCGGCCUGCGGGAUAUCAGCUAGUUGGUGAGGUAAUGGCUCACCAAGGCGAUGACGUCUAGAGGAGCUGAGAGGCUGACCCUCACCGAUGGUACUGCGACACGGACCAUACACCUACGGGUGGCUGCAGUGGGGAAUCUUCCACAAUGGACGAAAGUCUGAUGGAGCGACGCCGCGUGAUUGAUGAAGUCUUUCGGGAUGUAAAAAUCUUUUAUGGGGGAUGACAUUGGCGACGGUACCCCAUGAAUAAGGAGCUGCCAAUCUCGUGCCAGCAGCAGCGGUAAUACGAGAGCUCCAAGCGUUAUCCGGAAUUACUGGGCGUAAAGCGUAUGUACGCGGCGAUGUUAGUCUUCCGUGAAAUCUCUCGGCUUAACCGGGAGGCUGCGGAGGAAACGGCAUUGCUUUGAAUCCGUAAGAGGUCUGUGGAACUCAUGGUGUAGGGGUGAAAUCCGUUGAUAUCAUAGGGAACACCAAAUGCGAAGGCAGCAAACUGGUACAUUACUGACGCUGAGGCACGAAAGCGUGGGUAGCGAAUGGGAUUAGAUACCCCAGUAGUCCACGCCCUAAACGAUGAUCUCUCGCCUUUCGGAGUAUCGACCCUCUGAGAGGCUAAG